rnacentral:rRNA from 1 species
UACGGAGGAUCCGAGCGUUAUCCGGAUUUAUUGGGUUUAAAGGGUGCGUAGGUGGAUUGGUAAGUCAGUGGUGAAAGUUUGCAGCUUAACUGUAAAAUUGCCAUUGAAACUGUCAGUCUUGAGUGCAAAUGAGGUAGGCGGAAUGUGUUGUGUAGCGGUGAAAUGCUUAGAUAUGACACAGAACUCCAAUUGCGAAGGCAGCUUACUGGGAUGCAACUGACACUGAUGCACGAAAGCGUGGGUAUCAAAC